rnacentral:tRNA from 1 species
GUCCCCAUCGUCUAGCCCGGCCUAGGACACCGCCCUUUCACGGCGGUAACACGAGUUCAAAUCUCGUUGGGGACA